rnacentral:lncRNA from 1 species
AACAUACUAUCAAAAGAAAAGAUAUCAUUAACUUCAUCCUCGUUCAACCAUCAUCUCUAUACAUCUUUAUUUCCUCAAAGUAUUUCAUUCUCUAAUUCCAUCAUCGAAAAUAUAAUAGCUCAACCAUUAGAAAUCUCAUCUCAUCAAUAGCUUAUUUUUAUAUCUCAGUACUCUUAAAACACAAGGUACUUAUAAUAAGGAAAAAAAAAAUGCGGGGUGUUACAU